rnacentral:rRNA from 1 species
AGUGAACGCUGGCGGUAGGCCUAACACAUGCAAGUCGAACGGCAGCACAGUAAGAGCUUGCUCUUACGGGUGGCGAGUGGCGGACGGGUGAGGAAUACAUCGGAAUCUACUUUUUCGUGGGGGAUAACGUAGGGAAACUUACGCUAAUACCGCAUACGACCUACGGGUGAAAGUAGGAGAUCUUCGGACCUUGCGCGAUUGAAUGAGCCGAUGUCGGAUUAGCUAGUUGGCGGGGUAAAGGCCCACCAAGGCGACGAUCCGUAGCUGGUCUGAGAGGAUGAUCAGCCACACUGGAACUGAGACACGGUCCAGACUCCUACGGGAGGCAGCAGUGGGGAAUAUUGGACAAUGGGCGCAAGCCUGUUCCAGCCAUACCGCGUGGGUGAAGAAGGCCUUCGGGUUGUAAAGCCCUUUUGUUGGGAAAGAAAAGCAGCAGGUUAAUACCCCGCUGUUCUGACGGUACCCAAAGAAUAAGCACCGGCUAACUUCGUG